rnacentral:rRNA from 1 species
CUGGCUCAGGAUGAACGCUAGCGGGAGGCUUAACACAUGCAAGUCGAGGGGUAACAGUGCUGCUUGCAGCAGCUGACGACCGGCGCACGGGUGCGUAACGCGUAUGCAACUUACCUUAUACAGGGGGAUAGCCCAGAGAAAUUUGGAUUAAUAUCCCAUGGUCUUGGAUAAUCGCAUGAUUAACCAAGUAAAACUCCGGUGGUAUAAGAUAGGCAUGCGUCCCAUUAGUUUGUUGGUAAGGUAACGGCUUACCAAGACUACGAUGGGUAGGGGUUCUGAGAGGAUGAUCCCCCACACUGGUACUGAGACACGGACCAGACUCCUACGGGAGGCAGCAGUGAUGAAUAUUGGUCAAUGGGCGCAAGCCUGAACCAGCCAUCCCGCGUGAAGGAUGACUGCCCUAUGGGUUGUAAACUUCUUUUAUUUGCCAAGAAACGUAUCUACGUGUAGGUAUUUGACGGUAGCAAAUGAAUAAGCAUCGGCUAACUCCGUGCCAGCAGCCGCGGUAAUACGGAGGAUGCAAGCGUUAUUCGGAUUUAUUGGGUUUAAAGGGUGCGUAGGGCGGAAAGAUAAGUCAGUGGUGAAAUCCUGCAGCUCAACUGUAGAACUGCCAUUGAAACUGUUUUUCCUGAGUAUAACUGAGGUAGGCGGAAUGUGUAGUGUAGCGGUGAAAUGCUUAGAUAUUACACAGAACACCGAUUGCGAAGGCAGCUUACUAAAUUAUAACUGACGCUGAUGCACGAAAGCGUGGGAGCGAUCAGGAUUAGAUACCUGGCAGUCACGCGUAACGAUGAUCACUCGCUGUAUGCGAUACACAGUAUGCGGCAAGCGAAGUAUUAAGUGAUCCACCUGGGGAGUACGCUCGCAAGGGUGAAACUCAAAGGAAUUGACGGGGGCCCGCACAAGCGGAGGAACAUGUGGUUUAAUUCGAUGAUACGCGAGGAACCUUACCUGGGCUUAAAUGUAGAUUGCAUGAAGUGGAAACAUUUCUUUUCUUCGGAACUAUUUACAAGGUGCUGCAUGGUUGUCGUCAGCUCGUGCCGUGAGGUGUCGGGUUAAGUCCCAUAACGAGCGCAACCCCUAUCGUUAGUUGCUAGCAGGUAAUGCUGAGGACUCUAACGAGACUGCCACCGUAAGGUGUGAGGAAGGUGGGGAUGACGUCAAAUCAGCACGGCCCUUAUGUCCAGGGCUACACACGUGUUACAAUGGUCGGUACAAAGGGCAGCUACCUGGUGACAGGAUGCUAAUCUCUAAACCCGAUCUCAGUUCGGAUCGGAGUCUGCAACUCGACUCCGUGAAGCUGGAUUCGCUAGUAAUCGCGCAUCAGCCAUGGCGCGGUGAAUACGUUCCCGGGCCUUGUACACACCGCCCGUCAAACCAUGGAAGCUGGGGGUGCCUGACAUGCUCUGUCAGAGCCGCAAGGAGCGGCCUAGGGUAAAACUGG